GAAAGCCGUGUGCAAGAAAAUCGCAUGCACGGUUUGAUGAGGGGAAGAAGGAAAUAAAAUUUCCUUCAACCUACUCUAC
rnacentral:ncRNA from 1 species